GUAGGUGGCAAGCGUUGUCCGGAAUUAUUGGGCGUAAAGCGCGCGCAGGCGGUUCUUUAAGUCUGAUGUGAAAGCCCACGGGCUCAACCGUGGAGGGUCAUUUGGAAACUGGAGAACUUGAGUACAGAAGAGGAAAGCGGAAUUCCACGUGUAGCGGUGAAAUGCGUAGAGAUGUGGAGGAACACCAGUGGCGAAGGCGGCUUUCUGGUCUGUAACUGACGCUGAGGCGCGAAAGCGUGGGGAGCAAACAGGAUUAGAUACCCUGGUAGUCCACGCCGUAAACGAUGAGUGCUAAGUGUUAGGGGGUUUCCGCCCCUUAGUGCUGCAGCUAACGCAUUAAGCACUCCGCCUGGGGAGUACGGCCGCAAGGCUG
rnacentral:rRNA from 1 species